GGAAAAUCUAAGUGAAGACUUGGCGGCAGAAGGCCAUCUGGUGUUAAUGAGGAGUAACUACGGGUUUCUGUGAAAGCUUAGGAAAUGUGUGUCCUACCUCUUUGUGUUUUCCAUUGUGCGUUUUGAAACACACGCCACACAUCCGGACAGGCUGUACAAGAGGCCUUUAAUUAUCACUGCAGACUGGGGGCAGUUUUACGACGUUAUGGUUUCAUUUUCAUACGCUUCAGAUUUGACUUCAGAAGACAUUUGAACUACCAUUUGACGAUGAAAAUGUGGGAUAAUUUGAGAUUUUAUAAGAUAGUACUACAAUCCUGCAUAAAGUUCCGACUCAGAAGACUCUAGAAAGUAGUUUCAUUUUCCUGCUGAGUCCUUCUGCUCUGCUCUUCCUUUCUGUUCCACUUUGCACAAAGCAGGGACAGUAUCACCUCUGAGAUUAAUAUAAAGCUCUCCAGCCAGCCCAUUCUUGCCUGCGCAGGUCUGCCAUUCUUUGGGUCAUGAGGUCACAAUCGUGUCACUUGGGGCAUCUGGCUUUUCCAACUCCAUGGGCCUAUAGGAAAAAUGGAAGGCCUGUGUGCUUUAAAAAGAACCCAAGUGUCUAAAUUUCUAGGGAUAGAAACCCGCAGUUAAGGACCUAAAUGCAAUAAUUGCGGGAGGCAAGUCACAGAGACCAUAUGAAUGUUGGAAAUACCAAGUGAAGAGUCAGAGAGGGCAGGGAGUAAGAGACUUUGAAGCCUGGUGUCUUGAAGCCGUUGUUUCAAGAGGCUGAUGGUGGCACUGCUGGCAAUGAGAAAGAAUGAAAUCUGGCCUUUUGUAGCAACAUGGAUGGAACUGGAAAGUAUUAUGCUAAGUGAAGUAAGUUAUAGUGAGAAAGACAGAUACCAUAUGUUUUCACUCUCAUGUGGAUCCUGAGAAACUUAACAGAAGACCAUGGGGGAGGGG
rnacentral:lncRNA from 1 species